CGUUAGGAGUCCUUUGCCAGAGUUCCCGCAACAACUCAGGCCAGAGAGGUCCAAUUUGCGGCCAGGGCGUGCUUAGCCUCUCCACUGAACGGACCUUUCUGAACCGAAAGUCCUCACGGAAACAAAGCAAAAACGGCGUAUGGACAUCUCUCUGUUAAGGACUCAGAGAAUGGAUUUCAAUCUUUCCCAGGGCUUACAAAGACCACCUGCUGUAGCUGAACCCAGAAAAUGGUCCCUUUGCCUUUGCUGCUAUCCACUCUUGCAAAAGAAACCUCAAUGAUCCUCCUUGGCUCCACCUCUCUGCCUUCCUGUGGGAAUGCGGCUAUGAGAUCACUUCUGAGAGACACAGUCUCUGGACAAAGGAUAUUCUCAUGUGAAAGAUUAACUGAUGUUGACCAACUAACCUCCAAAGAGUUGAGCCAACUGACGAUGCUUCUCACCUGGUAGGAAAGAGCCUGUCCAAUCCUACACAUCAUUACAAAAACUAGGUGAUAAUGGCUUCAUUUUCAGUGGCUUGCUCAGGGUUAUGAAGAAGAACAAAGGGUAUUAUGGGAGAGCAUGCUGAACUGCAAUUUACUGCUAUACUGAAACAAUCAUGCUUCUUUACAAUGUACCUGCUACAACAGCCAUAUACGAAGAAGUGAGGCGAGGUCACAGGUAAUGCCACCUCCAGCAGACAAGGACUUUUGAAAUGUGGGUUCAUCUU